GACGAACGCUGGCGGCGCGCUUAACACAUGCAAGUCGAGCGAAGCGGCGGACGGGUGAGUAACAUGUGAGUAACCUGCCUUACACAUUGGGAUAGCCUCGGGAAACCGGGCUUAAUACUAAAUGGGCUAGGAUUGAGUCUGGUCCCAUUAGCUAGUUGGUGAGGUAAUGGCCCACAAAGGCGACGAUGGGUAGCCGGCCUGCGUGGGUGACCGGCCACAUUGGACCUGAGAAACGUAGCAAACUCUACGGAAGGGGGCAGUGGGGAAUAUUGCACAGUGGCGGGAGCGCUGAUGGUGCGACGCCGUGUGAACGAAGAAGGCUUUCGGGUCGUGAUGGUCUUUUAAAUGGGAAGCGGUCCCAUUAGAAAAAGCCCCGGCUAACUACGUGCCAGCCGCCGCGGUAAUAC
rnacentral:rRNA from 1 species